AUGUGCUUUGUAAACCGCUACUUGGAAGACCUCGACAUCGUCUCUGUUAGGAAACCUGCAGCUAAUAUACGUUUGCCUCAACAGCGAUCAAGGGGAUGGAUUUCUCCUGGAGAGGAAGCGGCAAAGAUUAAUGUAGAUGGAGCUGUUUCGCGGAAUGGCAGAGCAGGUGCAGCGGCGGCGAUUUGCAGGGACAAGGACGGAAAUUAUUUGGGUGCUUCAGCAGUCACUUUUGACGACCUGGUUGACGCUGCAGGGCUCGAAGCUCAUGCAUGCAGUGAAGCCCUGGCUCUUGCCAAAGAUCUCAACAUCUCACGCGUCAUCAUCGCGUCUGAUUGCCUGCAAGUCGUCUCCGAUAUUAAUGGACGGGUGCUUUCUUCUUAUGCCCUUGUCUUAGAGGAGAUAAAAGAGACUAUGAGAGAUUUUGCUAGAGUUUGUUAUAGAUAUGAAUGUAGGGAAGCAAAUUCUGAAGCUCAUGCCAUUGCUAAGGCUGCUUCAUCGCUCCCUGCAGGUCGCCACUUGUGGCUGGGGAUCCUACCGGACAUUACUUGUAUUUCUUCUUCGGUUCAUCAUGAAUAA
rnacentral:rRNA from 1 species